UACGUAGGUGGCGAGCGUUGUCCGGAUUUACUGGGCGUAAAGAGCGCGCAGGCGGUCGUACAAGUCGCGUGUGAAAGCCCCUGGCUCAACUGGGGGAGGGUCACACGUACUGUUCGACUCGAAGGCAGGAGAGGGGAAGUGGAAUUCCCGGUGUAGUGGUGAAAUGCGUAGAUAUCGGGAAGAAUACCGGUGGCGAAGGCGGCCCUCUGGACGGAUACUGACGCUGAGACGCGGAAAGCGUGGGGAGCAAACAGG
rnacentral:rRNA from 1 species